rnacentral:rRNA from 1 species
CGGUAAGGCCCCUUCGGGGGUACACGAGUGGCGAACGGGUGAGUAACACGUGAGCAACCUGCCUCUGACUUUGGAAUAACAGUUGGAAACAGCUGCUAAUACCGGAUAUGACUCACCUUCGCAUGGGGGUGGGUGGAAAGCUCCGGCGGUCAGGGAUGGGCUCGCGGCCUAUCAGCUAGUUGGUGAGGUAAUGGCUCACCAAGGCUUCGACGGGUAGCCGGCCUGAGAGGGCGACCGGCCACACUGGGACUGAGAUACGGCCCAGACUCCUACGGGAGGCAGCAGUGGGGAAUAUUGCACAAUGGGCGAAAGCCUGAUGCAGCAACGCCGCGUGCGGGAUGACGGCCUUCGGGUUGUAAACCGCUUUCACCCAUGACGAAGCGAAAGUGACGGUAGUGGGAGAAGAAGCACCGGCCAACUACGUGCCAGCAGCCGCGGUGAUACGUAGGGUGCGAGCGUUGUCCGGAAUUAUUGGGCGUAAAGGGCUUGUAGGCGGUCUGUCGCGUCGGAAGUGAAAACUCGAAGCUUAACUUCGAGCCUGCUUCCGAUACGGGCAGACUAGAGGGAUGCAGGGGAGAACGGAAUUCCUGGUGGAGCGGUGGAAUGCGCAGAUAUCAGGAGGAACACCGGUGGCGAAGGCGGUUCUCUGGGCAUUACCUGACGCUGAGAAGCGAAAGCGUGGGGAGCAAACAGGCUUAGAUACCCUGGUAGUCCACGCCGUAAACGGUGGGCACUAGGUGU